GACGAACGCUGGCGGCGUGCUUAACACAUGCAAGUCGAACGGAAAGGCCCUGCUUUUGUGGGGUGCUCGAGUGGCGAACGGGUGAGUAACACGUGAGUAACCUGCCCUUGACUUUGGGAUAACUUCAGGAAACUGGGGCUAAUACCGGAUAGGAGCUCCUGCUGCAUGGUGGGGGUUGGAAAGUUUCGGCGGUUGGGGAUGGACUCGCGGCUUAUCAGCUUGUUGGUGGGGUAGUGGCUUACCAAGGCUUUGACGGGUAGCCGGCCUGAGAGGGUGACCGGCCACAUUGGGACUGAGAUACGGCCCAGACUCCUACGGGAGGCAGCAGUGGAGAAUAUUGCACAAUGGGCGGAAGCCUGAUGCAGCAACGCCGCGUGCGGGAUGACGGCCUUCGGGUUGUAAACCGCUUUCGCCUGUGACGAAGCGUGAGUGACGGUAAUGGGUAAAGAAGCACCGACUAACUACGUG
rnacentral:rRNA from 1 species